AACGAACGCUGGCGGCAUGCCCAACACAUGCAAGCCGAACGAGACCUUCGGGCCAAGCGCAGCAAGGGUGCUUACCGGGCGGGAACCUGCCCUCAGGUUCGGAAUAACUCCCCGAAAGGGGUCCUAAACCCGGAUAAUGUCUCCGGACCAAAGAUUUAUCGCCUCUGGGUGGGCCCGCGUUGAAUUAGCUAGUUGGUAGGGUAAAAGCCUACCAAGGCGACGAUCCAUAGCUGGUCUGAGAGGAUGAUCAGCCACACUGGGACUGAGACACGGCCCAGACUCCUACGGGAGGCAGCAGUGGGGAAUAUUGGACAAUGGGCGAAAGCCUGAUCCAGCAAUGCCGCGUGAGUGAUGAAGGCCUUAGGGUUGUAAAGCCCUUUUACCCGGGAUGAUAAUGACAGUACCGGGAGAAUAAGCUCCGGCUAACUCCGU
rnacentral:rRNA from 1 species